rnacentral:lncRNA from 1 species
GCUCCGCGGGUCCCGCUCCGGCUCCGGCUCCGGCUCCGGCUCCGGCCCGCGGCCGCACCGAGCUGCCGCUUUGCGCCAGGAAAACGCGUGCGAUCUCGAUGUCGGAAGUCUGGAGGGUUUAAGCGGCCCCAGACGGCCAGAUUUGGAGGGGCCGGUUAAAAGAGGACGCGUUUCCGCCGCCGAGUAUCAACCUGCUUUAUAAAACCGAACUAAAAUGCCCUGUGAUUUAAAGGCAUUUUUUCUAACCGUGUUUUCUUUCCUCUCUUGCCUGCGAUGGAUAUGUAUUUUGCAGAGUUCACAGAGGAAUGAAAGACACUAGCAAAAAGAACAACAUUUUUGCUCAGUUCAGGAAGAAUGAUCGUGACAAGCAGAAGCUAAUAGAGACCGUAGUAAAGCAACUUAGGAGUUUAGUGAAUGGGUUACCAUUUCUAACUGUACUUUUGUAAGAUCCCGGGUUCUUUUCCCUAAUUUGCAGUGCGGGGUAGAAUCGCCACCGCUGCUUUCGUGCCGCAUCUGUUGGUCAGUAGGCGCUUUCCGCAGCCCGACCCCCCUCCAGCCCCCAGCGCUUAGCGUUGCGUCCCGCGGCCGCGCUCCCUGCGCUCUCCCCUCCUGGCUAUUCCAGACACGAAGCGAAUGUCUAACGCAUACAAACCAAACGGAACGUGUAAAAAAUAAAUGAAUAAAAAUAAUGUACA